UACGGAGGGGGCUAGCGUUGUUCGGAAUUACUGGGCGUAAAGCGCGCGUAGGCGGACCUGCAAGUCGGGGGUGAAAGCCCGAGGCUCAAUCUCGGAACUGCCUUCGAUACUGCGGGUCUCGAGUCCGGGAGAGGUGAGUGGAAUUCCUAGUGUAGAGGUGAAAUUCGUAGAUAUUAGGAAGAACACCAGUGGCGAAGGCGACUACCUGGCCUGUUCUUGACGCUGAGGCGCGAAAGCUAGGGGAGCAAACGGG
rnacentral:rRNA from 1 species